ACAAAAUGUCGAUGUCAGUUGAAGUUCGAAGCGGCAAAAUGAUCAUACAGUUAAUGACAGAUUUACUGAGGUGCAGAAUGUGGCAAUUGGUAGUUGUAAAUCUGAACGGUGGAGUUGUUGAUCUCAAACUGUUUGCUGUAUAGCGGAGGUAUGACACCUAUGCCCUAGGACCAUAGGCAUGUGUAUGUUUGACCGGACAUUGGAACUUUGCUGAUACAUGUUCAUCGAUCACAAAUGUAUUCUACAUGUAUAUUCAUGAAAAAAAUUCAAAGAUGAAAAUCAGAAGAUGAGCAAGUUUUUGUGUGUCCGUUAAUGUUAAAAAUUGUGUACACAUGAUUUAAGUCUCGUCAAGUGUGGAAUAGACCCAAUCUCAUGUUUAAAAUACAUAUAUUGAAAUGACCAGAUUUAAUUGAUGAUGAUACAUUAUAUAAGAACAAUGAAGUGAAAGAUUCGCCGAUGAAAUCACAGUCGAGGUGGACAAAUGUCAAUUUUUACAACAUGAUUUUAAUUUAAAUCUUGGAGAUACUUUAGUCUUCCUUUGUUAACAGAUUUUUUUAUCUUUCGGAAGAUGUGUCAUUUGUACAAUAUAAAAUUACAAGGCUGUGAAUAAGACUAUUCAAAUGGAAGGAAAGGAGCUGAUUUGUUUCGUUAGUGGAUGAAUAUGGCAAAGUGCAAUGAUAUAAAUAAAGAAGUUUCAUCCCUUGUGUAGUGCUAGCUGAUUCAAGAUCUACAUACAUGUACAAUGUUACUGGUUGAUAUGUACAAUGAUAAAGUCAAUUCAUACAUGUACUUGUGUGUCAAUUGUUUUUUCAUGUUUAAAAAAGGGAAGAAGCUCGAGGUACUGAGGACAGUAAAGGAUUGUUUAAUACUGCUUAUAUAUUUAUUUUAUAUAUUUUUGAAAACAUACGUCUAAAAAUAUUAACUCCAUAUUUAGUCUGUUUUUUUGUGGACUUGCUGUUCGCGUCAUCUACAAUAUUCUCCUUCUCUUCUGUAUUGAUAACAGGAAACCUUCCAUUUGAUAUAAUAUUAACAUCCUCCAAUUCAGGUUCUUCAAUCUGGUUUGUCUCAUUUUGUGAUUCUACAAGUUCUAGGGCUUGCAAUAAAUCCUCAUCUUCA